rnacentral:rRNA from 1 species
AUCUAUGGCCAUACCACCCUGAACAUGUCUUAUCUCAUCUGAUUUCAGAAGCUAAGCAGGGUUGGGCCUGGAUAGUACUUGGCUGGGAGAACAUACCAACACAGCCU